rnacentral:rRNA from 1 species
UACGUAGGGUGCAAGCGUUGUCCGGAAUUAUUGGGCGUAAAGAGCUCGUAGGCGGUCUGUCGCGUCUGCUGUGAAAACUCAGGGCUUAACCCUGAGCUUGCAGUGGGUACGGGCAGACUAGAGUGCGGUAGGGGAGACUGGAAUUCCUGGUGUAGCGGUGAAAUGCGCAGAUAUCAGGAAGAACACCAAUGCGAAGGCAGCUCUCUGGGACGGUACUGACGCUGAGACGCGAAAGCGUGGGGAGCGAACAGG